AAAUUGAAGAGUUUGAUCAUGGCUCAGAUUGAACGCUGGCGGCAGGCCUAACACAUGCAAGUCGAACGGUAACAGGAGCAGCUUGCUGCUCUGGUGACGAGUGGCGGACGGGUGAGUAAUGUCUGGGAAACUGCCUGAUGGAGGGGGAUAACUACUGGAAACGGUGGCUAAUACCGCAUAACGUCGCAAGACCAAAGAGGGGGACCUUCGGGCCUCUUG
rnacentral:rRNA from 1 species